rnacentral:rRNA from 1 species
UACAGAGGGUGCAAGCGUUGUUCGGAAUUAUUGGGCGUAAAGCGCGUGUAGGCGGCUUUGCAAGUCGGGUGUGAAAGCCCUCAGCUCCAACUGAGGAAGUGCGCCCGAAACUGCAGAGCUUGAGUGCCGGAGAGGAUGGCGGAAUUCCCCAAGUAGAGGUGAAAUUCGUAGAUAUGGGGAGGAACACCGGUGGCGAAGGCGGCCAUCUGGACGGUGACUGACGCUGAGACGGCGAAAGCGUGGGGAGCAACAGG